GAAUUCUUCCGGGUCGCCAGGCAAGGCCACGCCCAGUCUCAAUCCUACCCGCGCCGCCACCGGAGCGCGCUUCCCUAAAGACGCAUGCGCAAAAACGCCGUAGUCGCGUUCUAGGGGAGGCAAACUCUAAACCUUGCGCAGGCGCGUUAGGUGGUGGGACGGGCUUCGUUGGGACAGCCCUAACCCAGCUGCUGAAGGCCAGGGGCCACAAAGUGACUUUGAUCUCCCGAAAGCCAGGGCCCGAUCGGAUCACGUGGGAUGAGCUUGCUACGACGGGGCUGCCCCGCUGCGAUGCCGCCGUCAACCUGGCUGGAGAGAACAUCCUCAACCCUCUCCGCAGGUGGAAUGAAGCUUUCCAAAAAGAAGUUCUUAGCAGCCGCCUGGAGACUACCCAAAUGCUGGCUAGAGCCAUUGCCAAGGCCCCACAACCCCCCCAGGCCUGGGUCUUAGUCACAGGUGUAGCUUACUACCAGCCCAGCCUGACUGCUGAAUAUGAUGAGGACAGCCCAGGAGGGGAUUUUGACUUUUUCUCCAACCUCGUAACCAAAUGGGAAGCCGCAGCCAGGCUUCCUGGAGAUUCCACACGCCAAGUGGUGGUGCGCUCUGGGGUUGUGCUGGGCCGUGGGGGCGGUGCCAUCGGUCACAUGCUGCUGCCCUUCCGCCUGGGCCUGGGCGGCCCCAUCGGCUCAGGCCACCAGUUCUUCCCCUGGAUCCACAUCAAGGACCUGACAGGAAUCCUGGUCCAUGCCCUUGAAGCAAGCCACGUGCAAGGGGUCCUGAACGGAGUGGCUCCAGCCUCCACCACGACAAACGCUGAGUUUGCCCGGGCCUUGGGCGCAGCCCUGGGCCGCCCAGCCUUCAUCCCUCUCCCAAGCCCCGUGGUCCGAGCCGUCUUUGGGCAAGAACGUGCUGUCAUGCUGUUGGAGGGCCAGAAGGUGGUCCCGCGGCGGACACUGGCCGCUGGCUACCAGUACUCCUUCCCAGAGCUGGGGGCCGCCUUGAAGGAAGUCGUAGCCUAAGUGGGGAGGCUCGUGGCAGGGUCCGAGGCCUGUUCCUCAGGAGAGGCUUCCUGGUCAGACUGGGUGUCAGCCAAGGUUGUGACCUGGAACCAUCUGGUUCUUAGGGAGUCCUCUUUCUUUCUCAUUGUUCUGUUGCCCCACCUUAUUUAACUUAGAGACUGUUCAGUUUCAAGGCUGCAGUCUCAUCAGGUUGGGACCUUACCCUCCUCAGCUCCCAGUAUAAGAAUUUCCAAGUUUGGUUUCCCUGCGUGUCCCGUUCUUGCCCCGUUUCUCCAUUUUGCUGUGUAGAGAAUGUUCUGCAGUUGAGGCAAUAAAGGGGAUUUUGAAGGUUAUAACAGGCCACAUCUCCCUUCUUGGGCCCUCCACUGCCAAAAGAGCUGGAAACAAGUUUGGGGGCACAAGGUUAUGACAAGAGGAAUGAUGAUCAUUUCCGGGGGGCUCUGUGGUCACCCUGCACACUUGUUCACACAGUGCCAUCAGGAUGCCAGCAGAGGAAGAGACAAGGCCCAAGUCUAGGACAGCCUCCAACCUGUCCCCGGACAGCAGUGACUUGAUAAAGCCAUCACACGCUGGCCCCAAUUCAUCAAGCUGCAGCAGGACAAAGCUGUGCAAAGCUUGAGACUGUCAGAAGCUAAGGACUGGCCUCUCAUCUGAUUGGGGCCACUUCAGUCAACCAGGGUCCUCAGCAUCAAAGGGCAGAACCCACUGCCCACUCUAGCCCACUGCACACCCACCAGCAUUGAAAGUGAAAGAUGCAGAAACCUAUCAAAACAACAAACUCAACCCUAUCAGGUGAAAAAAAGUGUUCAUCAAGGACUCUGUCCCUUUUUAUUGACCCUGGUAUCUGCCAUAGCUUGACCAGUAGUUCUUCUGGCCCCCAAUUCAGGCCAUAUUAAUCAAUCUCCUUUCUUCUGA